UUGACCUGGAAAGCAAAAGAACAUACUUAAAAUGCUAGGCAGGGCAGGGACUGUCUGUUGUACUGUGCCCUGUUGGAUUGUAUCCUGCUGCUGAGAGCGGGCUCUCCUGGAGCCAGAGGCACCCCCGGGGAACCAGGAGCCACAGGAAGCAGCUGAAGAAAAAGUGCAUCGCAAGCAGUUCGCCUUCCCCUUGCAGCAGAGCCUUGCACCAAGGGAGGGCAGGAGCCUUCAGAAGGAUGCACUUCCAUACCUGCAGGCCUGUUCUGCAGAAGGUGCAUUACAGAUGAAGUGCCAACAGUCUGUAGGAAACAAAGGAAAAGUUUUUUAUGGUGCUUCCUCCCAGGGUUAGAGAAGAAGCCAUUGUAACCUGAAGGUCAAGAGUGACAGAAGACAUUCAUCCUUACACUUAAAUAUGGCUUAAAUCAAGAAGAAAUGCCUUUUUUUUUAUUUUUUUUU